rnacentral:rRNA from 1 species
AGUGGCGGACGCGUGAGUAAUGUCUGGGAAACUGCCUGAUGGAGGGGGAUAACUACUGGAAACGGUAGCUAAUACCGCAUAACGUCGCAAGACCAAAGAGGGGGACCUUCGGGCCUCUUGCCAUCAGAUGUGCCCAGAUGGGAUUAGCUAGUAGGUGGGGUAACGGCUCACCUAGGCGACGAUCCCUAGCUGGUCUGAGAGGAUGACCAGCCACACUGGAACUGAGACACGGUCCAGACUCCUACGGGAGGCAGCAGUGGGGAAUAUUGCACAAUGGGCGCAAGCCUGAUGCAGCCAUGCCGCGUGUAUGAAGAAGGCCUUCGGGUUGUAAAGUACUUUCAGCGGGGAGGAAGGCGAUGAGGUUAAUAACCUCGUCAAUUGACGUUACCCGCAGAAGAAGCACCGGCUAACUCCGUGCCAGCAGCCGCGGUAAUACGGAGGGUGCAAGCGUUAAUCGGAAUUACUGGGCGUAAAGCGCACGCAGGCGGUCUGUCAAGUCGGAUGUGAAAUCCCCGGGCUCAACCUGGGAACUGCAUUCGAAACUGGCAGGCUAGAGUCUUGUA